AGCCCUCGGGUAGUGCACACUCCAAGUCCGCCGCUCAUGCUGUAAGUCUUCUUAGAGGGAUCCACGGCUCGGAAGCCGUCAGAGACUGAGAGCAAUAACAGGUCUGUGAUGCCCUUAGAUGCUCUGGGCCGCACGCGCGCUACAAUGCGGGCACAGCAGGUGUUUUUCCUUCUCCGAGAGGAGUGGGUAACCCUCUGAAAGCCCUUGGCGUGCUUGGGCCUGGAGCUUGCAAUUUUUCUCCACAAACGAGGAAUGCCUAGUAGCGGUGGGUCACUGAGCCCACCGUGAUUCAGUCCCUGCCCUUUGUACACACCGCCCGUCGCUACUACCGAUUGGGUGUACCAGUGAGAGCCUUGGACUGGCGGCCGUUGCCCCUCGGGCAAGCGGUUUCGACUGAAAGAGGUCCGAACUGGUGCACUAGAGGAAGUAAAAGUCGUAGCA
rnacentral:rRNA from 1 species